GCUCCCGUACCCCAAUAGGUAGAGGGAUCCGGCUUAAACCCGGUUCAGUGAGAGUUCAAGCCUCUCCGGGAGUA
rnacentral:tRNA from 1 species